GUUACAUAUUACAAUACCGAAGCAUCAUACAAAAAAUGGGGAAAUUUAUAGGCUGCAGAAAUUUUCUUUCGACAAAUGUUUACAACAAAAGUGCGGAAAAUAAUUGCUAUUGCUUUGGAAUUUGUAUAAAUCAACUUGCAGGUGCAGGUGCUUCUCCAGCUAAAUACUGUUUGUGGACCAUUCUCUUGAAAUCUGCAUGAUAUAUUCCAUGAGUACCACCAAUUAAAAUAUGCAUUCGACAAAAUCUACAACGGUUAAAACAUACAAUCUACUAGAGCAGUAGAUAUUAAAGUAAUACAAGUUUUAGAACCCUCAAGGAAUUCAAUAGAGUAAUUGAAAUAAAGAUCAAAUGAAGUAAAAUUUGGAGCAAUAACAAGAAAUAGUUGGAAGUUUAAAUAAUUCAAUCAGAAAACAAAUGUGCUUUAGAAUGGAAAAAAAAACUCCAACCUUCCUUAUCAUUCCAAAGCUCUGCAGCAUAGUUGUUUAGAGGGCUCUCCAGGUUAGGCUCUGUUGUUAGAAAAUAAUUGAUCAGACAGGAACACAACGGUGACUGCAAAACUUGUAAAAUAAAUGAAGAACAGACCUUCCAAUAGACUUUGUAUAGACAGAAGCAUAGUUCUGCAGUCAUAAGCUGAAGACCACUUGUCCUAUAAAAUCAAAAGGUAAGAAAUUAAUACUAAUACAAGGUAUCCAAUAUCCAUAGUACAUAUAAUUGGUAGAUGGAAAUUUUGACUCGAGUAUUUGCUAUUUUGUUGAUGAAUACCUGAAGGAUGUCUAGACAAAUGUUGCCAAACUGGUCAACAUUUGGAUGAAAGCACGUCGUCUCAAACUUGACUUGAGGUGGUUUAAAAGGAUAGUUGGGGGGGAAAUGUAAGGAAAGUUUAUAAGAUAAACCCUCAUAAGGAGUUCCUUUUCC
rnacentral:lncRNA from 1 species